CCGAGUGCGGCCCCUCCGGGGUGCCAACCUCCCACCCGUGACUACCGUACCACGUUGCUUCGGCGGGCCCGCCUCCCCCUGACGGGGGAUGGCCGUCGGGGGGCACACUGCCCCCGGGCGAGCGCCCGCCGGAGACCCCAACACGAACGCUGUCUGAAGGACUGCCGUCUGAGUGGAUUUUACGAAUCAGUCA
rnacentral:misc_RNA from 1 species